ensembl:snRNA U6 U6 spliceosomal RNA
GUGCUCGCUUCGGCAGCACAUAUACUAAAAUUGGAACGAUACAGAGAAGAUUAGCAUGGCCCCUGCCCAAGUUACUGCUAAACUUUUACUCAUUCAAGUAUUU